rnacentral:rRNA from 1 species
AUUGAACGCUGGCGGCGGGCCUAACACAUGCAAGUCGAACGAUUCGCAGGCGUGUGAAUAAUGUCUGUAAACCUCCCUGAUGAGGGGGGAUAACUACUGGAACCGGUACCUAAUACCGCAUACCAUCAGAUUUGCCGAGGGGGGAUUAGCUUGUUGGUGGGGUAACGGCUCACCAAGGCGACGAUCCCUAGCUGGUCUGAGAGGGUGACCGGCCAAACUGGAACUGAGACACGGCCCAGACUCCUACGGUAGGCAGCAGUGGGGAAUAUUGCACAAUGGGCGAAAGCCUGAUGCAGCCACGCCGCGUGUAUGAAGAAGGUUUUCGGGUUGUAAAGUACUUUUAGCGGGGAGGCGUUACCCGCACAAGAAGCACCGGCUAACUCCGUGCCAGCAGCCGCGGUAAUAC